UUUUCACUGCAAAUCACUUUAUUGAAGCAGGUUAACCAUAAAUCACUCAGAGAAGCUAACAGACUGAAAACCCUUCAACCCUUUCUUGGAAGCCGACAUGAGCACGUUGGGAUGGAAGAGGGAGGAAACACAGUGGGUUUGUGGAGCCACCUCCAUGCUGGAGCUUACUCCUGGAACGAUGCCCUGGGUUGGUGCUAUGCGCAAUGUGUUCUGGUGCACCUCAUGCUCGGUUCUUCUUCUCCCAUCCUAGAUAAUGAUCAACUCAAUCAACCUUGAGAUGGUAUUUUAGGCCACAGAGGACCAGCACUGUGUGAGGAGAUCUCUUGGCCAGUGGCACACCAUGAUUUUUUCCCUGUUGGUGGGUGGCUCAUUUAUCCCCUGCUGAUACUGGGAGGUGCUGGAAGUUACUAUCUCCACAAAGAACAUGAUCCCCUCCUCAUUCCCUUUCCCUCCCCACAUGAAGCUGUAGAAAUUGGAAACCUCACACUGUCUUAGGUUGUGGUGAUAGAGGUUUGCUAAUGAUCUGUUUGGUUAACUCCUUCUGUUUCAUCCAUGUGGACAUUCCUUUCAAUCUGUCUCUAGGUGUCAUGGAGAUAAUGGGGCAGGAUGGUCCCAAGGUCGGCUCAAACACCUCUGGGAGCCCCUCUAUGAUCACAGAAUCUUAGAAAUGUAGAGCUCAGGGACCUCCAGAGGUCAUCUUAUCCCAGGAGAAGGGAUUGACAGGAAAAUAAAUGGCAGACAGAGACCAUUAGAUCCCUGAAUAAGCCUCCUACUUAAAGCUGUGUGAAGGGUCCGGAGGAAAGGGAACACCCCAAAGGAAGCUGCAAAUCAGGGAGAGCAUAAAGGAGACUGGGAGGGUGAGGUCCGGAAGGAAGUUCUGGCAUGGCCUUGGGGGACAAACAGCAGGACACCAGGCUAUGAAGCACUGCACAGGGUGAGCUGUGCUUUCCCAAAUUCACUGAAUCUGUGGCGCAUGGAGCAAUGAAGUGCAAGCAUGGGCAGAGCUCUAACUCUGCACCUCCCUGUGGGGGCACCUGAUCGAUGGCACCCCAAGAUGGCAAGGUCUGCAUCUCAUUGGAACUAGCACCAGCCAGCUCUCAGGGGAUGCAGAAAUGAAAGCUUGUCAUUGAAAUUGAUGAUUUCAUAGUUUGGAAGCUGAUCACCUUUCCGGGCAAGAUAAUUCAAGCUGCUUCCAUCUUCACGUUCACACAAUAGCCAGGCACCGCUCUGCACAUUAUGGGAAGACACUCAGUCAUUGAAAGAUCCCUUGCUCAGACUGGUUGCUUCUAUUACCAUCUUGAUCUUCCCUUCAUACUUGGCAUGUUCAUACAGGGUGAUCUUGGGAUUCUUCAGGUCUUCAGUAAUCAGCUUGAGAGAAGUGAUCUUGUCAUUCAUAUCUUCACCAACAAAGUUGUAUUCACCUUCCUCAAACACCAGGAACUUGCCUGAAUAAUUAGGAUACUCAUAGGCCACCCAGGGUUGGCCAGUGACCUUUACAGAAGAGACACAGUGGCCCCACUCUACGGGCUUCAAGUCAGCGAUGUCAGAAAUGAAUUCUUUGGAUUUACCUUGGAAGUUUAUAUGCUCAUAAAUGAUGGAUAAUCCCAUUCAUUUUGUGGG